rnacentral:rRNA from 1 species
GGGAGCUUGCUCCCUGAUGUUAGCGGCGGACGGGUGAGUAACACGUGGGUAACCUGCCUGUAAGACUGGGAUAACUCCGGGAAACCGGGGCUAAUACCGGAUGCUUGUUUGAACCGCAUGGUUCAAACAUAAAAGGUGGCUUCGGCUACCACUUACAGAUGGACCCGCGGCGCAUUAGCUAGUUGGUGAGGUAAUGGCUCACCAAGGCAACGAUGCGUAGCCGACCUGAGAGGGUGAUCGGCCACACUGGGACUGAGACACGGCCCAGACUCCUACGGGAGGCAGCAGUAGGGAAUCUUCCGCAAUGGACGAAAGUCUGACGGAGCAACGCCGCGUGAGUGAUGAAGGUUUUCGGAUCGUAAAGCUCUGUUGUUAGGGAAGAACAAGUACCGUUCGAAUAGGGCGGUACCUUGACGGUACCUAACCAGAAAGCCACGGCUAACUACGUGCCAGCAGCCGCGGUAAUACGUAGGUGGCAAGCGUUGUCCGGAAUUAUUGGGCGUAAAGGGCUCGCAGGCGGUUUCUUAAGUCUGAUGUGAAAGCCCCCGGCUCAACCGGGGAGGGUCAUUGGAAACUGGGGAACUUGAGUGCAGAAGAGGAGAGUGGAAUUCCACGUGUAGCGGUGAAAUGCGUAGAGAUGUGGAGGAACACCAGUGGCGAAGGCGACUCUCUGGUCUGUAACUGACGCUGAGGAGCGAAAGCGUGGGGAGCGAACAGGAUUAGAUACCCUGGUAGUCCACGCCGUAAACGAUGAGUGCUAAGUGUUAGGGGGUUUCCGCCCCUUAGUGCUGCAGCUAACGCAUUAAGCACUCCGCCUGGGGAGUACGGUCGCAAGACUGAAACUCA